GACGAACGCUGGCGGCGUGCUUAACACAUGCAAGUCGAACGGAAAGGCCCUGCUUUUGUGGGGUGCUCGAGUGGCGAACGGGUGAGUAACACGUGAGUAACCUGCCCUUGACUUUGGGAUAACUUCAGGAAACUGGGGCUAAUACCGGAUAGGAGCUCCUGCUGCAUGGUGGGGGUUGGAAAGUUUCGGCGGUUGGGGAUGGACUCGCGGCUUAUCAGCUUGUUGGUGGGGUAGUGGCUUACCAAGGCUUUGACGGGUAGCCGGCCUGAGAGGGUGACCGGCCACAUUGGGACUGAGAUACGGCCCAGACUCCUACGUGAGGCAGCAGUGGGGAAUAUUGCACAGUGGGCGGAAGCCUGAUGCAGCAACGCCGCGUGCGGAAUGACGGCCUUCGGGGUGUAAACCGCUUUCGCCUGUGACGAAGCGUGAGUGACGGUAAUGAGUAAAGAAGCACCGGCUAACUACGUG
rnacentral:rRNA from 1 species